CCUUCGGGUUGUAAAACUCUGUCUUCGGAGACGAACCCGUACGGGAGGAAAUGCCCGUGCGUUGACGGUAUCCGAGGAGGAAGCCCCGGCUAACUACGUGCCAGCAGCCGCGGUAAUACGUAGGGGGCAAGCGUUGUCCGGAAUCACUGGGCGUAAAGCGCGCGCAGGCGGCAUUUCACGUCUGGGGUGAAAGUCCAGAGCUCAACUCUGGGAUGGCCUUGGAAACGGGAGUGCUUGAGCGUCGGAGAGGCAAGGGGAAUUCCACGUGUAGCGGUGAAAUGCGUAGAGAUGUGGAGGAACACCAGUGGCGAAGGCGCCUUGCUGGCCGAUUGCUGACGCUGAGGCGCGAAAGCGUGGGGAGCAAACAGG
rnacentral:rRNA from 1 species